AUGAUCAUCUCUAUUUUAGGUAUUCGGGGAAUCCUCCUUAAUAGACGAAAUAUUCUUAUUAUGUCAAUGCCAAUUGAAUCAAUGUUAUUAGCUGUCAAUUUGAACUUUUUGGUAUUUUCCGUUUUGUUGGAUGAUAUGAUGGGUCAAUCAUUUGCUUCAUUAGUUCCAACAGUGGCAGCUCCGGUUCCAGGUUUCAAUUCCAUCCGUUUUAUAAUUUCUUACAAGUGA
rnacentral:rRNA from 1 species